UGAGGAAUAUUGGUCAAUGGACGCAAGUCUGAACCAGCCAAGUAGCGUGCAGGAUGACGGCCCUAUGGGUUGUAAACUGCUUUUAUAUGGGGAUAAAGUGGGGAACGUGUUCCCUUUUGCAGGUACCAUAUGAAUAAGGACCGGCUAAUUCCGUGCCAGCAGCCGCGGUAAUACGGAAGGUUCGGGCGUUAUCCGGAUUUAUUGGGUUUAAAGGGAGCGUAGGCCGUUUGGUAAGCGUGUUGUGAAAUGUAGGAGCUCAACUUCUAGAUUGCAGCGCGAAAUGUCAGACUUGAGUGCGCACAACGUAGGCGGAAUUCAUGGUGUGGCGGUGAAAUGCUUAGAUAUCAUGAAGAACUCCGAUGGCGAAGGCAGCUUACGGGAGCGCAACUGACGCUGAAGCUCGAAGGUGCGGGUAUCGAACAGG
rnacentral:rRNA from 1 species